GACGAACGCUGGCGGCGUGCUUAACACAUGCAAGUCGAACGGACAGGCCCUGAGUUUGUGGGGUGCUCGAGUGGCGCAGGGGUGAGUAAAACGUGAGUAAAAUGCCCUUGACUUUGGGGUAACUUCAGGAAACUGGGGCUAAUACAGGAUAGGAGAUCCUGCUGCACGGUGGGGGAUGGAAAGUUUCGGCGGUUGGGGAUGGACUCGCGGCUUAUCCGCUUGUUGGUGGGGUAGUGGCUUACCAAGGCUUUGACGGGUAGCCGGCCUGAGAGGGUGACCGGCCACAUGGGUCCUGAGGUACGGCCCAGACUCCUACGGGAGGCAGCAGGCGGGAAUAUUGCACAAUGGGCGGAAGCCUGAUGCAGCGACGCCCCGUGCGGGAUGACGUCCUUUUGGUUGUAAACCGCUUUCGCCUGAGACGAAGCGUGAGUGACGGUAAUUGGUAAAGAAGCACCGGCUAACUACGUG
rnacentral:rRNA from 1 species